CAUGUCCUUUUGAUAAUAAUUUAAGGUCUAAUCUGCUCAAUGAUUUUUAAAUAGCCGCGGUAUUUUGACCGUGCCAAGGUAGCAUAAUAAUUAGUUUCUUUAUUGGGAGCUGGAAUGAAUGAUUGGACGAGAAAAUUUCUGUCUCUUUCUUAAAAAUUGAAUUUAACUUUUGAGUGAAAAGGCUUAAAUUUUAGUUAAAGACGAGAAGACCCUAUAGAGUUUAAUUAAUAAAAUGGUUUUUUCUUUAGGAUAUUAAUUUAAAAUUUAUUUAUAUUAAUUUGAUUGGGGUGAUUCUAGGAUUAAUAAAACUCCUUUUGCUAUUUAUCAUUGAUUUAUGAUUAGGGAUUCUAAAUUUAUUUAAUUUUAAAUUAAAUUACCUUAGGGAUAACAGCGUAAUCUUACUUUAGAGUUCUUAUUGAAAGUAGGGGUUGCGACCUCGAUGUUGGAUUAAAAUUAAUUGUUGGCGCAGUAGCUUACAAAUUGAGUCUGUUCGACUUUUGAAAUUUUACAUGAUCUGAGU
rnacentral:rRNA from 1 species